GCCAUCAGAUGUGCCCAGAUGGGAUUAGCUAGUAGGUGGGGUAAUGGCUCACCUAGGCGACGAUCCCUAGCUGGUCUGAGAGGAUGACCAGCCACACUGGAACUGAGACACGGUCCAGACUCCUACGGGAGGCAGCAGUGGGGAAUAUUGCACAAUGGGCGCAAGCCUGAUGCAGCCAUGCCGCGUGUAUGAAGAAGGCCUUCGGGUUGUAAAGUACUUUCAGCGAGGAGGAAGGCAUGAAGCUUAAUACGCUUUGUGAUUGACGUUACUCGCAGAAGAAGCACCGGCUAACUCCGUGCCAGCAGCCGCGGUAAUACGGAGGGUGCAAGCGUUAAUCGGAAUUACUGGGCGUAAAGCGCACGCAGGCGGUUUGUUAAGUCAGAUGUGAAAUCCCCGGGCUCAACCUGGGAACUGCAUUUGAAACUGGCAAGCUUGAGUCUUGUAGAGGGGGGUAGAAUUCCAGGUGUAGCGGUGAAAUGCGUAGAGAUCUGGAGGAAUACCGGUGGCGAAGGCGGCCCCCUGGACAAA
rnacentral:rRNA from 1 species